UUGGAAAGAAAGUAUCUUCAUUUUGAUGCUCCCAAGGUUCCUGUCUACCUCAUCUCUGCCCUUAGGGACAUUUCUUCUAUAAACCCUUCCAUGCCUAACUCCUCUAGGCCGAUUUCUACCCAUUUCACAAUCAAACUCAUAAUCCUCCUCAUUCCCACUUCCUGCUUCAUAUUCAUCAUCAAAUUCAUCCACAUGUACGAGUUCUCGCCUUACAGGUUUUCUAGGAUUAUUGAUUUUUAUUAAGCUACCCUCCUUGUAAAUUUGCAAUCACUAUGUCUUGCCUAUCCAUCCUGUCCCUAAAUUCACCGAAAACCACAUGUAAACGUUCAAACUGUUGUUGCAUGGCAUUUAUCAUCAAUGCCAUGUUUGUGUAUCUCCCUGGUUAGAUGUGG
rnacentral:lncRNA from 1 species